AAAUAGAUCAAACAACAAGUGAUCAACAAUGUACCAGAUUCGGGCUCCAUUGGCAACCUUAAUCAAUUUCACAUCUAUAAAGUCACAAAAUACCGUUUAAUUAUUUAUUAAGCUUUAAUACCGUGAUAGAAAUAGGGUGAGGGGUCCUUACUUAUUUCGGGGUCUGAAAUCGACUCUACAGUGCGCCUAUGGGCUGUCCCUAAUUUCUCUGAAUUUUUUCUGGAAAACUGAAACGCACUACUGGUACCUGCACGUGUCCCAAAAAAUUCAAAAUCAGAUCUAGGGCUCCUUUCGGCUAAUAUCGGAAUUCCGGCACGGAGGCUCUGCCGUGCUCCGACGAUGGCGCCGACGCCGACGCCUGCGGCGGCGAUCAGCCUCGGGUUGGCCAUUUUCAACCGUUUUCGGCCAAACUUGCAUCGGUUCCUGCGAUAAAACAACCUUAGGGCCUUCGGUGGGCCAAAAAAUCACGAAAAACCGAGACUUACUGGUGGCGGUGUUCUCGGGUGCGGCGGCUCCUUCGGCGUGAGUCGUGUUUUGAUGUUUGGCUCCGAUCAACCUAUAGAGAAAAGAACGGUGAUCACAGUGGUAUAAAAUUUGCAUCGAACGGAGGCCGGAAAGGGCCUCAUCGGAGGCAAAAACAGAGGGGAGUCGCGGCGGCGGCGCCGGACUUUGGCUGGGUUUUUCGGCCGUUUGGCCGGUGAUUUGGCUCUGGUUUGGCUAUAGGCGGACUCAACAUCGAAAAACGAGCCAGGGGGAGAAAAUUUACCUCGAUCGGCGGUCGGAAACUUCUCCAGUGCGGCGGCGAGUGGCGGGCGUCCGGCUCCUUCGGCGUUUGGUUCUUCUUCUCCGGCGAGGCACUGGCGGCUAGGGUUUUGUGGUCAGGUGUGGGUGUGGUUAUUUAUAUCCUUUGUCUUUUAAUCUCUACCGUCCAUUAAGAUUAAAUCUGGGCCGUCUGUGCCGGAUUGAAUCUGGACCGUCCGUACGUGUGAAAUCUGGGCCGUCUGUGCGCACGUUUGAUCUGGGCCGUCCGUGUGCACGGGAACGGAUCUGGGCCGUCCGAUCGCGCACACGCUGAUCGCAUACGUGGCCCGUCCCGUGUCAGCGAUUCCUUGCCACACGGCGUGUCCUGGUUACCCGGGGUUGCUAACCGGGCUGCUAACGUGGCAUAACUUUUUUAAAUUGCGUUUU
rnacentral:lncRNA from 1 species